rnacentral:rRNA from 1 species
UACGUAGGGGGCAAGCGUUGUCCGGAUUUAUUGGGCGUAAAGAGCGUGUAGGCGGUUUGGUAGGUCCGCUGUGAAAACUCGAGCUCAACCUCGAGACGCCGGUGGAAACCAUCAGACUAGAGUCCGGAAGAGGAGAGUGGAAUUCCUGGUGUAGCGGUGAAAUGCGCAGAUAUCAGGAAGAACACCCGUGGCUAAGGCGGCUCUCUAGUACGGUACUGACGCUGAGGAGCGAAAGUGUGGGGAGCGAACAGG